UACGUAGGGUGCAAGCGUUAAUCGGAAUUACUGGGCGUAAAGCGUGCGCAGGCGGUUUUGUAAGUCUGACGUGAAAUCCCCGGGCUCAACCUGGGAAUUGCGUUGGAGACUGCAAGGCUAGAAUCUGGCAGAGGGGGGUAGAAUUCCACGUGUAGCAGUGAAAUGCGUAGAGAUGUGGAGGAACACCGAUGGCGAAGGCAGCCCCCUGGGUCAAGAUUGACGCACAUGCACGAAAGCGUGGGGAGCAAACAGG
rnacentral:rRNA from 1 species